AAAUGGCGGCGGCGGCCGCGGGCCUUCCCCACCGGAAAUGACGCGCUCUCUACCCGAGGGAGGCUGCCGGGAAGGGGACCGCCGCCCGCCAUUGGGAGAAGGGAAACGGAGUCCUUGGGGCCCGCAGUGCGCAUGCGGCUUCAUGGGCGUCGCCUCCUGGUCCAAACUCUGACCGCCGAGGAUGGGGAGGCGGAGUCUAGGACUAAGGGGCGGAGCCUCAGUCUCUUGGCUGAGUGAUCUGUGUUGGACAGAUUGGUUGGUGGUGAAGGUCUUUCGCCCAGGACCUACAGGUGCAGUGGUGACCCAGACUGGGCCGUAAGUCACCGAAUUCACAGACCAGUGGGAGGAACCAGGAAACAAUUAAUGACAAAGGAACGCCCAAGGCUGUGAUGGGGAACAGGGAUACAAAGAAAUCGACUAAGUAGUCUGUAGAGGGAUCCAAAGGACGGGGUAAAGGGACUCAAGACUGUAAUCCCAACACUUGGGAAACUGAGACCGGAGGAUUACUGCGAGUCUGAGGCCCUACCUUACAAAACCUAAACAAGCCGGGUGGUGGUGGCGCACACCUUUAAUCCCAGCUCUCGGGAGGCAGAGGCAGGCGGAUCUCUGUGAGUUUGAGGCCAGCCUGGUCUACUGAGCGAGAUCCAGGAAAGGCGCAAAGCUACACAGAGAAACCCUGUCUCAGAAAAACAAAAACAAAAACCUAAACAAAGAACAGCAAACCGGGGUCCACAGAUGAGGAGGCACAGGUUGGAUGGUGGGGUGUUGAAUGGCAGGUGAGGAAGGUACUCAAUGCAAAGAAAGCAAAAUGCUCAGACAGGCAAAAGAAUGGAGUUCUCCCUAUUGACGUUCCCAUGUCUCCCAGCCAGGGCCUUCUCAAUUUUCAGCUUUAGCGAUGGGUAUCUCCUGCUCUUACUCCCUGUGAUCAUGAUCAUCUCUCUCAAUUUUCUUAAAUGAUUUUUUUUUUAAAAAACAGUGUUUCUCUGUGUAGCCCUGGCUGCCCUGGGACUCACUCUGUAGACCAGGCUGGCCUCAGACUUAGAUAUCUGCCUGCCUCUGCCCCCCAAGCCACCAAUGAUGCCCUGCUUGAAAUGAAAUCUUACUCUGUAGCCCAGACUGACUCAAGAUCCUUCCACUCCAGCCUCCCCAGUACUGGGAUUACAAGAGCACAGCACCAUGCCUGGCCACAAUUGCCGUGAUUCCUGUGCACAGCCUGCCCGAGGCUGCUCCGGAGGCUAGUUUGCCGGAUGGCACUGCAACAUCAAUAUAAGGAAAGUGAAGCUCAGAAUUGAAGUUAAUUGUUCUGUUGAAGCAUGAGUACAUACAGAUACCACAGCACUCAUACAGAGGUCGGAGGACAGCGUUGUGAAGUUGGUUCUCUCCUUCCACUGUGAGGGUCCUGAAGAUUUAUCUCAGGCUGGGUGGGCAAAUGACCUUACCCAUCGACCCAUCUCAACAGCCUGAAUUUUCAUUGUUUGUUCAGUUGUACAUAGAAUGUUUUUACAUUCAAGAAAAGAAAAGAAAAAUCGUCGUCGUAAGUGCGCUGGCGAGCAGGCUCAGCAAUUAAGAGCACUUGCCUUUGCAGAAGAUCUGAGUUUUGGCUUGCCAACACCCACAUGGUGGUCCACACCCAUCUGAAACUCCAGUUCCAGGACAUCCAAUGUUCUCUUCUGAUCUC